GGCGCCAGCGAUAGAGGGGCGUCGGGACAAACGCUUAACGCAGGCGCGGUGGCCAAGUGGUAAGGCGUCGGUCUCGUAAACCGAAGAUCACGGGUUCGAACCCCGUCCGUGCCUUGGAGUCUAAUCCUGUUUUCAAGAGACCCUCAGCUCAGCCUGAAGAAACAAAAAGUAGUCUGAAACGUGAAAGGCCAAGGUGACUGCUGAGGCCGAGUGGCAGUCGUGUCACACACCUUUUCUACACAGCACCCUUGAGGCUAGUGCUGGUGUCCAUCUUAACAUGGAGGCAUUCCUGGGAGGAGCACGUGAAGCCUCUGCAGGAUUUUGUUUUAAAGACAUCUCUUCAAAUUCUUGUUUGAAGACAGCCCUCUAUAGACGCUGCAGCUAUCAAGAUCAUCCCCCAGCUCCCUUUCACUGGAUCGCCCCCACGCUGCCACCACGUAAUUAAGUAUUUAUUAAUUUGGUUCUGUCUUCUGAUUAGUAAACCAUGAGGUUUCUUCAUCUGUAUCACUAACCACUUAAAAGGAUUAUCUGCAAUCUGAUUAGUGUGUACUUUACAUUUUCUAAUUUUUAACAGAAAAGCUCCCUAUGACACUGGAAAUGGGUAAGGAAGGUGCAGUGGUUACACUCACAGAAGCCCAGCAGUGCUCCCCUUCUCCAGGUGAACCGAAUGCUGGGUGCUUCGGACACAGCUGAUCCAGCAGGACCACAAGUGGCCAGGAGGUCCAACUCAGUGACACUGACAGAACCAGCCACCAACCCUUAACACAGUUAAGGGCUGAUAGCACUUAAACCCAUCCCAUCACUGUAAAUAGGAACGGAAUUACUAAUUGAAGGAAAUCUUUAUUGAUUCAUAUUUGAUAUUUACUCAUUAUUUGAAAUUUUACUGACGGCUGUGUCCACACAAUCAAUUUUGUUCUCCUCCUGACACAUCUUCCUCUCAUAUUCUGCACCACUGUUGUCAGGGAUAUAAACUGUACAUUUGUUGUAUGAACAGGAAUUAAUGUCCCUAACUAUUUACAUGGGAUUUUGUAAAUAUGCUUACAUAUUUUUACUUAUGGAUACAAAGAACAGUGAGAUACAUCCAUGUCCCUGAAACUACUUUCAUAGGAGAGUUGUAAAAACUAAAUGCAAAACUCAUACUCAAGGACAAAACACGUAUCUGAUAAAUACUGCUUUCUUUUUACUAAAGCCUGAGGGAUAAGCCUCUCAGGGAGGGUGGAGAUGAGCCACUGAUGAGUAAAGCUUUCAUAAAUUCUUGUUCUUUAGAAAUAAUGUAUUCAUAGGACAAAGUCAGGUAUGCAGAAGAGCUAUGGACUGUGUCUCACCCUCUUAACGAUGGCUCGAGGCCUGUGAGUCUGUAUUAGGUGGCACAGAAAUCCGGUAAUACUGAGUCUGUUUUUCCACAGUUUGCAGACAGAACUUAUGUUUUGUUGAAUAACGUUGCUAAGCUAUUAGUGUGAUAGCAAUGUUGCUAAGUAACAUUUUAAGACAUGUCUUGUGGUUAUUUACUUGAAAUUAAUUUUGUAAUUGGAAAACUAUCAAGACUGCAACUCACAGCCUAGGAGAGACUUUUGUAGCCCAGAAAUAGUAACUCUAGCAGCAGUUAAGAGGUAGAAAUAAUUGACAUAUCACACGGGUUUACCGCCAAAAUGGAUUCAUUUACCUGAUAUUAAACCUUUUUUGAAAGUGUUGCUCUAUUUGCCUUCAGCUUUCUUCUUCGUAGACAGCACAAUGCCCAAAAUUAAAAAUCUCUCAGGCCAGGUUUUCUACACCUCUAAUCGUCCUUGCUACAAUCCCCUCAAUCCUCUCCAGAUGCUACAUAUUCCUCUUGAACUGAGCAGCCGGCGAGGCUUAGCAGCAGUGCUCAGAGCAGGGCAUUUCCACACAGCAGGGCUCACAGGACCCGGCCGAGGCCGAGCAGGAAUGUGCAUCACACACCCCAGCAAAGGCCAGGCUGCCAUUGCCUGUGCCCUGCGAGGCUGCCCAGCUGCCAUGGCAUCACACCACACAGCUCACUGCACUGAGCACGGACCGGCACACGUGGCCCUGUCCCCAGACUGGGCUGUGGGAUGUGAAAUUUAAACCCCAAACUGGCUCUCUCCCCACGUGCCUGGCAGCACUGCACCCUCCUGCAUCCCUGGCUCCCCAUGGCACCUGCAGCUCCCUGUGGCACCCACACGCCGGGCACAGAGGGGGAACCAGAAGCCAGGGGCUGGGGAAUCCCAGGGCAGAAUCUGUACUACAGUCAUGUGGAAUGAGUCCUCUCUGUGUAAUCCAAUUUCUAUCACUGCACAGUUAAAAAAAUCCCUUACACUGUGCAGUGUUAUUGGUGAAUGCAGAAGGUGAAGCAAAUUUAAUUUAGUUUCAUAUUCUUUUUUUUUUUGUCACUAUAACAGCAUCUUGCUUCUUUUUAAAUUGAAUUUUACUUGUGACAACCUGUAUGACCAACAGAGGACAGCACAUCCAUUUCUUUUCAUGAUUAAAAGAUCCUGAGCUUGAAGCUGCCAUUCACUUUUUCACUCAGGAAAUGAGAGUGACAGGCAGAGUGGAGCAGUGUGCCAUAAGUAAACCAGCCAGAUUAAAAAGGCCUUUUUGCAAUUAACUAGAGCUGUUUUGAAUUCCAGGAGAUUACUUAAAGUAAAUCUAUUUCUCAGCAGACAUUAUUGCUAACGAAACACUGUGGCUGCACAUCGGUGAAACCUGGGUCUGUAUUUUGAUGCAAUUGUUUACUGAGCACUGCAAUAGCAGUUAAAACAUACUUAGGAGUCAAAGCACACUCUGGAGUGUCAGGUGAACUCUGCUAAUUCCCCUUCAAAACUUCAGGCAGACAAGGUGUCUGUAACCAAGUUUUGAUUAAAUGUGAGUGUUCAUAAAACACUGAAGUGAAGCCAACUCCGGUGUUUUUAUUGCAUCUGAUUUGGGGGCAGAGAAGACUCUGCAAGUCAUAAUGAAAUUCAAAGAACAAACCCAAGGAUUUCAUCUGGCUGAGGGGAAUUUCAUUAAGGAAAUCCAAUUAACCUGCAAGAGUUGCAUACAUUGAAAUCUAUUAUCUUCCACCAAAAGCUGGCUUUGUAGUUUUUAUAGCAACCUUUGCUAUUCCUGGAUAAAUAAUGCUUUAUUACAAAUGCACUGACAUCUUUAUAUAAUUAAUAGCAUAUAAUGUCUUCAUUCAUCUCUGCUAUGCAAACAUUCAAUUCUGCUUCCUAUGAAACAAAUCAAAUAGUGUUUUUAAAGAAGAUAUGAGUCAGGACGGAUUGGGUGUUAGACACUAGUACCAAGCAAACAUAGAUUUAGAUCUAUUUUUUUAGAUUUUUUUCUUCUUUUUAAUUAAGAGCCUAAGACACCAUUAAGUCCAUGGGGACUGACGGUGCACAGCAGUACCCAGUGUUGAAGCCCUUAAAUAAAAGCCAACCUACAAAUUCCAAUUCAUGCGAGUAACAAUAUUGCACACAUCUACUGUGGGGACAUGAAUUAUUCACAUCAGUGUGGCAUGAAAGAUGCAAACAGAAAAGCCUGUUUAAAAUAACACACAAACACUCAGUGUUUCUGUGAUAUGUGGGAGGGUUAUCAUUUGGCCCAUUUUUCACUCAUGUGCAUAUUCCUUUUAUUUGCUGCCUGUACGGGUCUGAUAUGAGGAUGUGGAGAAAAUAAAUACAGGAGAUAGACAUCUAAUAAACAUUAGAUGAAAAUGAGGAAAGGAGGUUACUGAUUUGUAUUCUUCCAAUAUGAAACUCCUGGAUUGUAUCAGAGAAAUUUAAGUGUUUUACCAUUCCUUUUUUUUAACCAUUAUCUGAUCAGAGAAGCAUAAAAAGCACUUUAUUGCUUUUUUUUUUUUUUUCAUCCCUGUGCUAGGAGCCCUCUGCAGGAAGUGAAGCUGAAUUUCACAAAUCUUCCCUUUCUGACGUCUCCCGAAUUUCUAGGAAUACCCCUUCCCUGUUACUAUAUUUGGUGGUAGCUUCUAGGAAAAAAAUAAUUUUCAGACGGUCUUGGACUCACCACACCUCCUCUCAGAGGACUGUGCGCCCCGGGUCUCCUGGCACGGCCCCCGCGGAGUUGAGGAGCUCACGGCUCGGGCUCACAACUCCCGGCGCAGACUGCACGUCUUUGUAGCACUGUUGGAGGAAUGAGCAUGGAGAAGGAGUGGGAAGGGGAGAGGUGUCUUUGUGGCAACAAUGAGUGAAUCUUCUCUA